rnacentral:rRNA from 1 species
AUUGAACGCUGGCGGCAUGCUUUACACAUGCAAGUCGAACGGUAACAGGUUAAGCUGACGAGUGGCGAACGGGUGAGUAAUGCAUCGGAACGUGCCCAGUCGUGGGGGAUAACGCAGCGAAAGCUGUGCUAAUACCGCAUACGAUCUAUGGAUGAAAGCGGGGGACCGUAAGGCCUCGCGCGAUUGGAGCGGCCGAUGUCAGAUUAGCUAGUUGGUGGGUAAAGGCCCACCAAGGCGACGAUCUGUAGCUGGUCUGAGAGGACGACCAGCCACACUGGAACUGAGACACGGUCCAGACUCCUACGGGAGGCAGCAGUGGGGAAUUUUGGACAAUGGGCGCAAGCCUGAUCCAGCAAUGCCGCGUGCAGG